UACGUAGGGUGCAAGCGUUGUCCGGAAUUAUUGGGCGUAAAGGGCUCGUAGGCGGUUUGUCGCGUCGGGAGUGAAAUCCACUGGCUUAACUGGUGGCUUGCUUUCGAUACGGGCAGACUGGAGGUAUGCAGGGGAGAACGGAAUUCCUGGUGUAGCGGUGGAAUGCGCAGAUAUCAGGAGGAACACCGGUGGCGAAGGCGGGUCUCUGGGCCGAUACUGACACUGAGAAGCGAAAGCGUGGGGAGCGAACAGG
rnacentral:rRNA from 1 species